UUUUAGAAACGAUGGUGGCCUUAAAGGUAGAUGUUCAACUAUUGUUUCUGCAUCUGGUUCAUCUGGAAGGGUCAAUAUCUGCAAUUAUGGAAAGAAUUCCAAGCAAGUGACAACGUUCGGUUUGGCAUGCUCCAUGGAGAAAUAGUAGGGCUACAUUAAGAUAUAUCAAGGUUGGAGACCAAAGUUGAGAGGCUAAAGUCGGUAGUACAAGUUAAAGAUAGGGAGAUUGCAACAGUUACACGAAUAGAAGCCAAAGGUAAGGCUGCUUUUAAAGCUCAAAUUGACAAGCUACAGUAGGAAAAUGUUGAACUCCAGAGAAGGGUUAUUGGCAAUCAGCAAGUAAGAACUCAACAAAUACAUGAGAUGAAGAAGAAAGAAAAGGAGUACAUCAAAUUGCAGCUGAGAUAGGAGCUUUUGUAUGUCUAAACCAAGUCUUAAGGGAGAAAAAGAAAGAAUUCCUACCAAACCCUUCCACCAAGACCAUAGAAUUCCCUUGAAGAGGCAGAAUACAUAAUCAUCAGUCUAAAGCUUACUGUACUCAAGAGACAAAAGAGUUGAAUUGAAAUGUUCAUCAUGUUUGAAAUGCCAACAAAGUUAAAUGGUAGAUGAGAUGUGUUGAAUUCGUGAUUGACUCAAAGCUACAUUAAGAUAUAUCAAGGUUGGAGACCAAAGUUGAGAGGCUAAAGUCGGUAGUACAAGUUAAAGAUAGGGAGAUUGCAACAGUUACACGAAUAGAAGCCAAAGGUAAGGCUGCUUUUAAAGCUCAAAUUGACAAGCUACAGUAGGAAAAUGUUGAACUCCAGAGAAGGGUUAUUGGCAAUCAGCAAGUAAGAACUCAACAAAUACAUGAGAUGAAGAAGAAAGAAAAGGAGUACAUCAAAUUGUGUGUGAGAUACCUUUUAGUUAUUUUUCGGUUCUAGGCUCAAGUUGGAUUCAGGUUAUAUAGGAGUUUUUGUAUGUCUAAACCAAGUCAAGUCUUAAUGGAGAAAAAGAAAGAAUCUAUAUCAGGAACGGAGAUAAUGAAUUUGCUACAA